CAGUAGCCGCGGUAAUACGAAGGGUGCAAGCGUUAAUCGGAUUUACUGGGCGUAAAGGGCGUGUAGGCGGCCUGGGGCGUCCCAUGUGAAAGGCCACGGCUCAACCGUGGAGGAGCGUGGGAUACGCUCAGGCUAGAGGGUGGGAGAGGGUGGUGGAAUUCCCGGAGUAGCGGUGAAAUGCGCAGAUACCGGGAGGAACGCCGAUGGCGAACGCAGCCACCUGGUCCACUUCUGACGCUGAGGCGCGAAAGCGUGGGGAGCAAACCGGAUUAGAUACCCGCGUAGUCCCUGUCUCUUAUAC
rnacentral:rRNA from 1 species